rnacentral:rRNA from 1 species
GACGAACGCUGGCGGCGUGCCUAAUACAUGCAAGUAGAACGCUGAAGGAGGAGCUUGCUCUUCUUGGAUGAGUUGCGAACGGGUGAGUAACGCGUAGGUAACCUGCCUGGUAGCGGGGGAUAACUAUUGGAAACGAUAGCUAAUACCGCAUAAUAGUAGAUGUUGCAUGACAUUUGCUUAAAAGGUGCAAUUGCAUCACUACCAGAUGGACCUGCGUUGUAUUAGCUAGUUGGUGAGGUAACGGCUCACCAAGGCAACGAUACAUAGCCGACCUGAGAGGGUGAUCGGCCACACUGGGACUGAGACACGGCCCAGACUCCUACGGGAGGCAGCAGUAGGGAAUCUUCGGCAAUGGACGGAAGUCUGACCGAGCAACGCCGCGUGAGUGAAGAAGGUUUUCGGAUCGUAAAGCUCUGUUGUAAGAGAAGAACGAGUGUGGGAGUGGAAAGUUCACACUGUGACGGUAUCUUACCAGAAAGGGACGGCUAACUACGUG